AGUGAACGCUGGCGGUAUGCCUAACACAUGCAAGUCGAACGGCAGCACAGUAAGAGCUUGCUCUUACGGGUGGCGAGUGGCGGACGGGUGAGGAAUACAUCGGAAUCUACUUUUUCGUGGGGGAUAACGUAGGGAAACUUACGCUAAUACCGCAUACGACCUACGGGUGAAAGCAGGGGAUCUUCGGACCUUGCGCGAUUGAAUGAGCCGAUGUCGGAUUAGCUAGUUGGCGGGGUAAAGGCCCACCAAGGCGACGAUCCGUAGCUGGUCUGAGAGGAUGAUCAGACACACUGGAACUGAGGCACGGUCCAGACUCCUACGGGAGGACGCAGUGGGGAAUCUUGGGCAAGGGGCGAAAGCGUGAUACAGCCAUACCGCGUGGGUGAAGAAGGCCUUCGGGUUGUAAAGCCCUGUUGUUGGGAAAGAAAAGCAGCAGGUUAAUCCCCCGCUGUUAUGACGGUACCCAAAGAAUAAGCACCGGCUAACUUCGUG
rnacentral:rRNA from 1 species